rnacentral:sRNA from 1 species
GACUUCACCUCUGGACAAUCCAAUGCGAAGUCAGUUCAUGAAUAUUUAUGAUUUCGUUUCAUAAACACACACACAUACGAACAUGUGGCGAAGGAGCCUCAAAUUGACAAACCACCGUGCUUUGCACCCCUGCUCUAAUAAAAAGGAACCUCAAAAGCAAAUUCAAUUAACCCUACAGACCGUAGAGAGCAUAAGCAAAUACACUCAACCAAUGCAAAUACGACGACCGAGACAGACAAACCAAACUCCCUACUUGCAGGAUCUCCUCAUCCUUCUCCCGCAACUCCAUUCCGGGCCUCCGUUGGACUAAGGCACGCGCCAACUACAAAUCCGCCCAUCAGCCACUGGCGCCCCCGAGCAGGGUGGUGCGGUGGGGUGGCUGACCAACCGCAAGGACACAAAGUAACUAAUUAUCUCGCCUUAACCCCUUACCAACAGCUUCCUGCUGUGUUUACUUAGCACGCCACCCUUCUAAAGUUCUCCUGCAGCUUCAUCGCACGUGGCUGGGAAAUGGACCCGAAAAAUAAAAAGAAAGCUGGGGAAAAUCGAAUGCAAACCCGAUAUGUUUUUCACAUUUGAAUGGACAAUGGGCAGCAGGCCUGGGAAAGGGAAAACAGGAAAAAAUGUAAAUGAAAUGUGUCAAAUGCUGACACACGCCGCGUCUGAAACUGGAAACUGGAACUCUUUGGGUUAGGCGAAAGAGAGGGACUCAAAGGAUGCGGUGAUGCAGGGUUGCAGAGUUGCCCGAGGAAACGAGGGAGUUCCCGCCUGGUACAGGGACCUUGUCCGGGGAAGUGGGACUUUUCACAGCAAUCACCGGCUGAGUGAAUAUUUAUCGAUAACAAACUGAAAACAUCUCACCCCGACCCCGGUCGGCAAUUCCAUUUCCACUCAACACAACGUCAAACAAGCGAGAUUGGGUUCGGAGUAAGGAGUAGCCUUCCAUCGGCUUUGCAGGAUACCGCCUGCCAGGAUACCCGGGACUGGCCAGACUUUCAUCUGCAAUCUCGAACCGGGAUGGAUGGAUGUGUGCCAGCUAUUAUUUGGACAGCACUCGUGGCGCGUACACGAAAUGAACAUGGCCAACUACAUCGCAGGGGUGGCGCGGGUCUGAUUUAGGAGGAUUCCACGUUGGCAAAUGGCACGAGUCAUUGAGCUAACGAUCGAAAUUGUAUCUCGCACGCAUGUUUUGUAUCUGCAACUCCAAGCGCAGCACUGAAAGAAGCCACUUUCGUGAUUGGCGCAGAUAAAUGCUUGCAAACUGCACUUGGGUUGAUUUGAAGUUAACAAGUUCGGAAGCUGAAGGCACAGAAGUUUGAAAACCAGAAGGGCAGACUUGGAUACAUUUUACAUAUUUCUAUCUUAAUAGGAUUGCCAGUUAAUUCAUAAUUAAAACAAAUACAAAGCGUGUCCAGUCACUACUUUCUUUUAUAAGAUUAAUUCUUGUCUUAUUUAAACAAAUACCAGCUCGGGCACUUUUGUUUAAAAAACCAUAGAGCAAAAUCCAAAAGGGUCUUCAAAACAAUGGCAUAUUUUCCUAAAAGUCUAAUUAUGGUUUUUAAAACAUUUAAACGAAUAUUCAUUUCUUACUAGGUAAUGUGCUUGAUUUAGUAAUUUCGACAAAAGAAAUAUUUAAAUUCACAGACUUAUUAAAAUUAAAUACUUAGUGCCUUUCAAUAUAAGUGAAGUAUUACGUUUUAAUCGAAGUGUACUACUGCACACUUCGACAAUCGAAUCUGAAGUCCCGAGCGUUUAACGUCAAAUAAAACCGAGUAAAUAAUUUAGCAGCCGAGGCAGCUCAGCGAAGUGCCCGAUGCGAAGUAGGAAAACUUUAGCGUAUUUAUUUGCAAUUUUCGCAUUUUAAGCCGAUAAAAGCAGGGCAGCGUGUGUGUGUGUGCCCAAGUGUGGGAGGUGUUGGGUGUUCCGGGCAUGUCGGUGAGACGCCGGGGGUAGUGACCGUAUAAAAUGACAAGCGUUUGACACAAGCACCGGAAUAUCCGUCAGUGCGGCGACGGAGCGGACGACACUGCGUCCUGCGUCCUGGACAAGGGAGCUCCGUGAAAACGACAGGAUGGCGAAGAUGAGGCCGGAGGAGAGCGGUGAACGGUGUAGAUGUGUGUCCUGCGCGUGCAGUGUUUGCUAGCGUGUUACGGCCACAUCCAUAAUACAAAAGGAUGCUCCGGCCAAACCGAGCGAGCAUCAUUUCCCGGUGCCAUUUCUAGUUGUGUGUCAACUAUUCUAAUAGUUCCCGCUUGAGUGGGUCGGAGUGGGGGUAUGGGGUAUGGGGGCAUGGCUCUGUGUGUAAGGGUGUGUGUGUGUGAUUUACAGUUGCGCUGAUUGCAAGGAUAAUGCCAAAGUACUCGCCGCUCUGGCAGGAAGUCUCUGGCGCGCUUUCAUUCCUCGGUAGCCAAGCAAGUCGCUGCCAAAGCGGAUGUUAACUUAAAGGUAUUAAGAAAUUGAAUCAAAGUGGAAAUAUUAUAAGAAAAAAUACGUACUUCAAUGGCAGAUAGAAAGCGAGAAAGUGGAUGCAGCUAGGAAAAUUGCGCAUUCGAAUUGGCUUGAUUUUAUAUAUUUAAAUGUAUAAAUCAUUGUAUAUUUUUCAACUAAAAAAGGGAAUGAAACCCGUGAAUUUCACGGACAAGCUAGUUUUAAAUACCAUAUACAUAUGUCUUCGAACUUUUCCAAUGCAUCAGUUUUCUUCAAGUGUAUAUUGAAGUGGUUGGGGUGGUGGACUGAAGCAAUGGAGUGGGGGAUGCUGCAGUUGAACUUGCCGUUGCCUAAGUGCCGCUCCGACUUUGAACUAUGACGUUUGCUUUUAGUGUAUUAAGAAAAUGUCAAAGGAGCUGACAGCCCAAGCUCCGGCUCCAGUCGAAGCUGAACCAGGUGCCUGGCUGCGAAUUCGGAGGGGAUCAGGGCAGGGGAACUAAUACAUAAUAAUGCAAUUUUGCCAAGGACAACGGCAAUGAGGAAGGCGGAUUCAUUUGGCUUAGGCCAAAUGCCGGUCUGAGUUUAAAAUCUAAAAAGCAGGAGAAAAGUAAUUGGGAAAAGUGGAGGAGCUGAAAUCAGGGGAAACGCGGUGCUUACAGGAUUAUAAUUUUCUGCAACCAUUCCGGGCGUUCUCUCGAACAUAAAUGUAUGCAGCAUUGCCGGCACUCAAUAAACAGAAUAAGCAAAGCAGAAUAUACGUUCAUCCCAGCAAAAUUCCAUAAGCCCAACAUAACAAUUACUGCCAUGUUGGAACACAUAAAAGUUGUAAAGGCCCUUAGUCCCAGGGAUCCCCGUCCGGGCAUCCACCUGUUUGUACACACCCACACAUACACAUAAUUCUGCCACCUAUGUAAAACCACUGGCAGCCCCAAGUGUCCUGACUGCACUUAAUCUCAAUUUGAUGCCUACGCAUACCCUGUAAUCGGGUAAGGAGUGUGGUGUAGCAAGACCAUAAAUGCGUGUUUACAAGGGUUUUCAUUUAGAUGGUGGAUAAUAAUGAUAAUGCAUAUAAGAAGAAUAAAUUUACUUAUUUAAGGCAAGUAAUUAACUUCAAGCACGGCGGCAUUGAAAAGUAAGGCAUCAGAAAUACUUAUUUAAUAGAGCUAUUCCUGUUUAAAGAUACACGGAAGAAUCACUAUAAGACUCCUCUCAGAUUUUUACAGGGGGCUUUGUUUUGGCAAUUUAUUACAAAGCACCAGCCUUGGCAAAACACAGGAUAUAUCCCCUGGCCCUCCAAUAAUCGUAUAUGCCAUAAGCGUAUUAACGCAAUUCAAUUUCGAGCCAUUCUGCCUCCCUCCAAAGGCAAAAAAGCAGUAACAGCAACGAUAGGAAUAACUACAGCAAUAAGAGCUGGUCGAAACAAUGUAGAUUGCGCCACCUGCGCUGAGCUGGCGGCUAAGGACGAAUCUCAGAUGUCCUUUCAGGGCCUAGUUUAUUUGAAUCGAAGAAGAUAGAUAUAUAUUUGAAAUGAUAUAUGUACAUAUAUUCAAUGUAACAAAUGGAUAUAUGUUCAGGAUUUAAAAAAAGACGUCUAAUAGGAAACCAUUUUCAUUUAAUUUUGCUUGUAUUUGGACUUAUUGGUGCUGAGGGACUGGUGGUGCCAUAUGCCGUGCUACCUAAGAUAGGGUAUCAACCGGUAAACGUAUUAACUUCCGUUCACUUUUAUAGGCACAGACAAACACACCUACACGGCCACCAGGACCCAUUGCGGCACACAUAUGCCAAACUGAACUCUAUGAUGACCAAAGGACACGUAUGGGCACCGCCUCCUGGACAGAAAGGGGAGAGUUCCGGUCCUGGGAGACCGGAGGCCGAGGCAGGACGCUACUACAUCGCGUGUUUGUCCCAGCUCACAUGCACAUAGAUACAUACAUCUGGAUGUAUUUGUGGCGGGACGAGGGGAUCGGCAAACAAUUGGAUGCUGUGGGUGAAAGUUGGCGUUGGUAUUUUGCACAUCACGGAGUACAGAGCACCACUGUAUUAAGAAGUUGCAGAGUUGCAUUAACAGUAAUUGUAUUUCCUAGAGCACCCAAGUACAGUACGUCAAUACCCAAACCUUCCUAAGUAUUAAACGAAAAGUAACCUUCAAGCAAGCCUAAUACUUUUACAUCAUUAUAUUCUAAAUCGAAUAAAUUAUACCCUAUAAUAAUAAUCUUGCAAAUACCAGGUAUUAAAAUUCCCAGAUGGUUCCAGGUAAUGACUGCUUCUAUAAUCAUUUUGACCACUGUAUCUAAGGUUGUUGCCUGCCGCUGGUGGCCACGAGACUGUUCAGUUUUGCAUGGCCACCUUCUUGGUCAACACACGGAUGUCGACCUGUACGUGCAUUGCCCUUAGCUAUUUGGACGUUUUUUGGGGAUUUUGCCUAUUCCUUUUCCCCGAUUGUGAUUCUGGUUCUUCGUUUUUUAUGGGUCACCAGAGCGAGUGAUCACGGACAAAGCGAAAAGAAAAUAUUUGCCUGUUGUGCGUUAGACAUUUUCGAUUGUGUCCUGGAUUUGGAAUAUGUGCUUAAAAAGGGUCAAGCGGCGAGUGGUAUAGGUGCAGUGGGUCUUGAACGAAGAUUGGGGACAGAUGACUGGUGUUUGCCUGCAGAUGUUCCAUUAUGGGAGAAUUAUACUUUGUGCCGACGAGCAGAGCCAACUAUAUCUUAAUCAAAAGAUAUUAAGGGCGGAUCAACUGAUAACACUUUCCAACGAAUCUAGUAUACCCUUUUACACUACGAGGUACUAAUAUAGUAAUCUUCAUGACAUAUAGAAAACUAUCUUUUAAAGAUAAAUAAUCAAUAAGUAAUAAUUGAAUAUGUUCGCCAACCCCUUACGACAAAUGUUGCUUAGUAAAGCACUCAACUAUCAUUCAUAUUCAUGGAAUAUAUAAAUCAUGAGAUAAAUGUCAAAUUGAUGCUCUUCGUGCUGCUACAAACUGAAGAUCGGCGACACCCUUUUGAAGGACCUUAGAUUUAAAUGGUAUAAAGCCGUUCAGUUGGUUAGACAUGAGAAUGGAGAGGCGCAGGGUACGACAGGACGUGCCACCCGAACUUAUCAGUCGACAUCCGGUGUGUGUCCCACAACAAGACAAGACAACAAACCAGCUACCAGCAACCAGAAACCAGCAAGCCGGCAACCAACAGCAGUGACAACGAGCCACCCACAUGCACAUCCCCAGCCUCAUCCACAUUUACACCCACAGAGAAUGCCAGCCAAUAUCCUGCACAACAUGGCGAUACAGUGCAAACAAUCCUGGCCCUCUCCCUUUCGGCCAUGUAAACCAACUAAUGAAACUGUCAACUGGCCACAACAGUCGGUCGGAAGGAGACGGAUCGAAGGGGAAGGGGGGGCAAAGGAAGCGGAAGGUGGAUUGAGUUGGAGCUGCCCGCCUCAGCCUGCUGCCUUUCACUUUUCACUCAUCCCAGCCACCCAACCAUCUGACCCACCAACCGAGGGGCAACAGGCUGAUCCUCUGGAGCGGCGCGGCUUCAUUAAAAGAGCUCGCCACGAAAUUGAUUGCCCAGUCAGCGCUUGAUUAGCACUCGAAGGCUUAAAACUUAUCAGCUGCGCGCCACGUACAUAUGGCCAAGACACAGGGCGGCUCCUUUCCAAUUCGAAAAUCCAAUUUGGCCCGGACAAUGGCUGCCUAGUGGCAUAUUGAAAAUUUCCAUGUGCCGCGGUAUUUUUAGCCCGCUCAUAAUCGCCGCCCAAGUCCCGACCCCGAAAAGGAGAAAUGGAGAAAUGGAGCCGGGGAGCAUGAGACUCAGCCCCAGACUGACUCGGUUAUGAAAAUGGAUUUUCCAGCCAUUCACACACAUGUGUCUAUUAUGCAUAAGCCUUCGUCUGCCUUUCCUCGCUGGGUGGCUCAGAAUGGGUGGCGAAGUGGCAGGUGGGUGGGCCGUCGCAAACGGAACAGCUGCUCUUGGAUGAUAGGUAGUGCCUAUCAAAAACGCUCCACUCAUUGCCUCUAACAAAUGGUUAUCUGCACUUUUUCGCCCGGCGAGGAAGGGGCAGCAAGUAUGCUAUUGUUUACGAAAAAUAAGAAAAUAUGAAAAAGCAAUGCGUUAAACCUUCUAC